ACUUUACAAUGCUGGCAACAGCGAUAAGGGAACCUCGAGUGCCAGGUUACAAAUCUGGCUGUCGAGAUGCCUAAAAAGCAUUUCAUAGCAAGGGCCGGGCAAGACCGGUGCCAGCCGCCGCGGUAAUACCGGCGGCUCGAGUGGUGGCCACUAUUACUGGGCUUAAAGGGUCUGUAGCCGGCCGGAUAAGUCUCUUGAGAAAUCUGGCAGCUUAACUGUCAGGCUUUCAGGAGAUACUGUCUGGCUCGAGGCCGGGAGAGGUGAGAGGUACUUCAGGGGUAGGGGUGAAAUCUUGUAAUCCUUGAAGGACCACCAGUGGCGAAGGCGUCUCACCAGAACGGACCUGACGGCAAGGGACGAAAGCUAGGGGCACGAACCGG
rnacentral:rRNA from 1 species